rfam:Pan troglodytes isolate Yerkes chimp pedigree #C0471 (Clint) chromosome 3, whole genome shotgun sequence.
GGGAAAUGGGAAGAGGGGCCAGCCCCAGGCCCCACAACAAAGUGGGGCA